rnacentral:misc_RNA from 1 species
CUAUCGUCAUUGAUUGGAAGCGGGAAUCUCGGUCGAACGCGUUUCGAAACAGAUUCCCCCGGUGUUCCGGCCGUCGAGGAUCACUCUUCAUCGUCACAAAUAUAAUCACCGCUCCCUGUGGCACAGUUAUAUAUGUACGCGCCUUGUUACACGCCGGCGCUAUCAAAUAUGAAGCUAUUCGGAGGUGGCGUUUCAACACCGCCCGAGUCUCCCCAUGGGGAACCAUGUACACAGCCGUACGCCAGCUAUACCACUACUGGCCUGUUUCACGUAUUUAACCGACCAGAUUAUAAUUCGGCAGCACGCACACACGCGCUCUUCGUUAUAAUAGUCUUUCCUUCUUAAUAACGAGACAGUAAAAUUUGCAUAAAAACAGAAGAGCAUCGUCCGUAAAUUAAUCUCAAGAUUUAAUUAAACAUUCGAGAACCGUGUUUUUAUAGUUAUCAUCCUCUGGAGUUAGCUGGCAGUCUGAUAAAAAAUCUGCGUAUUUAUCAUCGAAACGUGAUCCGAGCGAGAAAGAAAGGAAAACUUCAACGUGUUGACGAUGACUAUUAAAUCAAAUAAAAACCAGUUGCACUGAUU